rnacentral:rRNA from 1 species
CAGGUGCUGCAUGGCUGUCGUCAGCUCGUGUCGUGAGAUGUUCGGUUAAGUCCGCUAACGAGCGCAACCCUCGCUGUGUGUUACAAGUGUCACACGGAACUGCCGGUCAUAAACCGGAGGAAGGUGGGGAUGACGUCAAGUCAGCAUGGCCUUUAUAUCCUGGGCUACACACACGCUACAAUGGGAAGGGACAAUAGGUUGCGAAGCCGCGAGGCGGAGCCAAUCCAGCAAAACUUCCCUCAGUUCAGAUUGCAGGCUGCAACUCGCCUGCAUGAAGUUGGAGUUGCUAGUAAACGCAGGUCAGCCAUACUGCGUUGAAUACGUUCCCGGGGCUU